UUAUUAUGAGAGUUUGAUCCUGGCUCAGGACGAACGCUGGCGGCGUGCCUAAUACAUGCAAGUCGAACGCUUCUUUCCUCCCGAGUGCUUGCACUCAAUUGGAAAGAGGAGUGGCGGACGGGUGAGUAACACGUGGGUAACCUACCCAUCAGAGGGGGAUAACACUUGGAAACAGGUGCUAAUACCGCAUAACAGUUUAUGCCGCAUGGCAUAAGAGU
rnacentral:rRNA from 1 species